rnacentral:misc_RNA from 1 species
GCAAACUUGGUCAUUUAGAGGAAGUAAAAGUCGUAACAAGGUUUCCGUAGGUGAACCUGCGGAAGGAUCAUUAGAGAAAUAUAUAUUUAUAUAUACUUUGUGUGCAACUACCGAAAAGAAAGGGAAAAAUGAGAAAUCCGAACCUUUAUCCUUCAGGGAAAAGGGAGAGGAUUAUCAUUUGUUUUUCCUGUUAAUUUUACAAUUCUUUUAAUAUAUUGUAUAUAUUAUUAUAUGAUAAGCGAAAUAAAAAAAACUUUCAACAACGGAUCUCUUGGCUCUCGCAUCGAUGAAGAACGCAGC